rnacentral:misc_RNA from 1 species
AGAAUCUGGUUUGAAGUUAGAACUAGCCGAUAUCCCAGUGGAAAACCUUGUGCCAGAGCCAUUAAGAGCCAGUGCAUCCCCUGAGGAGUUUAUGCAACAAUUGCCACAAUAUGAUGCCGAUCUGACGAGGAAGCGACAGGAGGCUGAGAAUGCUGGGGAAGUGUUGAGAUACGUCGGGGUGGUGGAUGUCGAAAAUCAAAGAGGAUUCGUCGAGAUGCAAAGGUACACGAAUGAUCAUCCAUUUGCACAACUUUCAGGAUCCGACAACAUCAUUGCCUUCACGACAAUGAGGUACCGUAAACAGCCUUUGAUCGUACGGGGACCGGGUGCCGGGGCUCAAGUGACAGCAGGUGGAAUCUUCAGUGACAUCUUGCGGCUUGCAUCUUACCUUGGUGCUCCAUCAUAAAACCAUGUUGGGUUUCAACUCUUCUUUCAUCCUUAUUAGCUUCUCUAGUCUUUGUUCUUUUUUGCUUGUUGAGAUUGUCUCUUAUGCCUUACGUCCUUGUUUCAG